rfam:Acidovorax citrulli AAC00-1, complete genome.
ACGCUUCGGCUAUGCCUGCCGACAGAUGUCGGCGACAUGCCCGGCAACCACCGGUCUUCGAGGUUGCGCGCAGCGCCCCGCUGCGUGGCCGGACCAGUUCGCUUCGCAUCACUUCGCGAACGGCCUCCGGUUCCACGGGGGCGCAUGC